GGGCGUCUCUUUCUCAUUACGAGUGGAGGCGCACCUAUAGCGCACACGCUGAUACCCGAAAGAUGGUGAACUAUGCCUGGCCAGGACGAAGCCAGGGGAAACCCUGGUGGAGGUCCGCAGCGAUUCUGACGUGCAAAUCGAUCGUCGGAGCUGGGUAUAGGGGCGAAAGACCAAUCGAACCAUCUAGUAGCUGGUUCCCUCUGAAGUUUCCCUCAGGAUAGCUUGCGCUCGGCGAGAUGAGUCUCAUCCGGUAGAGCGAAUGAUUAGAGGCCUUGGGGUCGAAACGACCUCAACCUAUUCUCAAACUCCAAAUAGAUGAGAUCCCCGGCUUGCUUGAAAGUGAAGCCGGGACUCGGAUCAGAGUGCCAAGUGGGCCAAUUUU
rnacentral:rRNA from 1 species